rnacentral:lncRNA from 7 species
UCACAUCUGAGUCCGUGCAUCAGAUGCUGCAGUUGGGUUUAAAUACUCAUUUUUUUCCUGGCUUAGAAAACAUUAUCAAAGACUAUUUAAGGUGAUAUGCUUGGGGAAAAAAAAAAAAGCCAACCCAACAGUAGUGAGACGGAGAGCUGGACACGCUGUUGCUCAAGUUAGUAAAUAUGGACUGCACACAGCAGCUCAGUGGCUACUCAGUGACCUGAAGCCCCGUUCAUGGCCACAGCGCACUGCCCCAGUUUCUGGCUGCAAGCAGAGAGGGCUGUGCAGAGCCAGAGCUGCUCUUUCCUCACCUGAAGAGAUGUCCCUGCACUGAAGCACACUUCUGGGGUUACCUGAGGUAGUAGAACAGUUUGCACCAUCAGUGAUGGUCUUCUAUCUGCACUUUUUAUAGAGGACUCAGGUUUCUGGUUAUUUUGGUUCAGCGGCUCUCCUGUCAUCGGAAGCUUAAAAAUGUAGAUUUGUCUGCCCGUCUCCCCUUUCAAACAGGGCUGCUAAAAUAGGAGCAGCUCCAGAGGAAAAAAAUGAUUGUCUCACUGUGUGUUUGACAGCACUUUGUGUCAUAGCCACUUUCCUGACACUGUAGGUGCACACAGAAGAACAGGGAGAAAAGCACUGCUGGGAGAGGCAAGGGGGUCACAUAAGAGGCGGCUGUACCUCUCUGACUCUAUAGCGAGUAAACCAAAACUGACCUCUUGUACUACUUCUGGCCCUUUUUCUGAAAACGCUGCAUUUUAAGUGUAAAAGCCAAAUUGCAAUAAAUGAACUGUAGUAAAUUGUCACUGUAGUUUCAGAAAACUUUAUGUUUUUUCAAAAUAGUUUGCAGCCUGCAUUAUUCCCAUUACUCCUAGGCUAGGUAGCACGCAGGCUGGCUCCCCGGUGGGCCCAUGGAGGUCUCUCUGUGGCAGGCAGACAGGCAGGUUCAAGGUGUUCUGCACAAAGACCAACAGCAUUAGCUCUCCUGUGAAUGCUUGUUUAUACAGACAGCACUGCAGGUCUUGCUGUUCUUCACCUGCCUGAACCAGCCAGCUCCUUUUUCAAUGAGUGGCUUUUAGAGUGGGUAACAAGUGACUCAGUUUCUGUCAGCUAUCCAACAGCUUGGUCAUUGGUUUGUUGGCUCUGGUCAUUUCAUGGCAGAGGAGAAUGAAAGAGCUGCUUCUCUCAAUCUGUUUUCCAAAACUGAGAAAUUAAGCAAGUUUCAAUUGCUUACUCUUUACUCUUUGGAUUUAUUACUUUAGGUUGCUGUGUUGUCAACCUCCUGCAGAGCUUCAGGAGGGAAGGAAGGAGAUACGUUACAGUUGUGAGUAUGGAAAAAGUUGAUUGGACUUCAGUGUUUAACUGAAGCCUUUGUAAGCAAAGAUAAGAAAGCAUUUCCUGAGAGCACAGUUUGGUCAUAACCACAUUUGUAGAAUAAACCUCAGAAAAAAAAAAUUAUACAUCUCCAUUUACUUGCAUAACAACAUGUCCCUUGAAAAAUUGCUGCUGUUUGCAGGGUCAGAGAGUAAUGCUAGCUCAGUGCAGUAAUAAUAUACAAUUUAACAGGGACAUUCUUGAUUUGAUUUUAGGCUUGAGGCUAAAAAAUCAAUUGCUAAUCCAAGGCAAAAUACUAUGGUUGCUAGAAAACAGAAAAUACCCAUCAGAUUUUGGCUGGCACACUCUUGGUUCCCACAGUAUCAGUCACACACAUUAAUAAAGGACUUUAAUAAAAGAGUAUCUGCGGUAGCAUAGUCAUGGCCCAUCAGCUCAGGGGACACUGCAGUCACACAAGGCUUCCACCGGCCAUUUAUUUAAUUGAGCUCUUAUGUUCAAUAUCAGCUCUCUGCUACCAAGCAUAAUCUUCGUAAAUGGCUGUUAUCUAUGAAGUUGGGCAGCAGGUUUCUAUGACCACGGUUGCGAUGCAAAUAAUUAUUCGUGUGCUUCACUGCAGUAGACGAGAACAGGCUAUCCCUGAAUGAGCAAGUGCCCAGCCACACGGACUGUUACAGUUCUGAAACCUGGAACUAGAGGAAGACUUACCAGCAAGAGGAAUCAUAGAAUCACAGAAGGAAAGGAGACUCACAGAUACACUACUGCAUAAAUGCCAGACUGCUGUAAAAUUCUUUGAGCCACUGCUGUGUUGUACAGUGUUUUAACUGUUGAGUCAGCAUACUUUCGGCAUGGUAAGAGUACCGAAACGCAUUGUGACUGCAUUGCUGAUACACAGCAUCAUACCUAAAACCAGUUUUCUUCCUUUUAAAGCCUCAAGCAGAUCUGUUUGAUUACGCUCUACGACUUUGUUCUUGCAGGUAACUGACUGAUCAUCCACUUUAAGUUUGUCUGUGGUAACCUGGCACAGAUAGCAAGUUGACUGAUGCCAAAAGUGUAUGUCAGGAUUUAGAGCGGGUAAGAGAGAUAUGGGCAUAUAUUCUGAGAAAUGCUUCAUUUGCUUUUAGUCUGAAAAAUGGGGCACUUUUGAAUAAGAAUGUCUAGAAUUAUCUAUUAAAUCAAGUCUAGCAGCAGGAGGAAAUGAUGAUGGAAAGAAUGCAUGCCAGGCUAGGAGAUGAGUUGGAGGCUCCAUGUCCAGAGGCUGCCCCAGAAUGGCUGCUGAUGCAGCACUUCACUGCAGCGCCUUCAGUUUUCUUCAAAGGGGAACUGGAAGAGAGCACUGACAGUUCACACUGGUCAUUUCCUCCCACUGCUUAUUUUGUAAUUUAAAUGUAAUACGUGCCAGGAAGGAUGUACGCAAAAAACUUUCUAUUUAGAUAUGGUAUCUAAAUACGAAGGAAAAUUUUAUGUCUUCAAAAAUUGUGAUUUCGCUACAGCACAGUGUUUUGUAGGCACAUUUGGAUUAUACCCAACCAUCACUACUCUUGGUUUUCAUUAAAAAAUAAAAGUCAUUAUCCU